GUAUCCUGUCUGAAUAUGGGGGGACCAUCCUCCAAGGCUAAAUACUCCUGACUGACCGAUAGUGAACCAGUACCGUGAGGGAAAGGCGAAAAGAACCCCGGCGAGGGGAGUGAAAAAGAACCUGAAACCGUGUACGUACAAGCAGUGGGAGCACCUUCGGGUGUGACUGCGUACCUUUUGUAUAAUGGGUCAGCGACUUAUAUUCUGUAGCAAGGUUAACCGUAUAGGGGAGCCGCAGGGAAACCGAGUCUUAACUGGGCGUUAAGUUGCAGGGUAUAGACCCGAAACCCGGUGAUCUAGCCAUGGGCAGGUUGAAGGUUGGGUAACACUAACUGGAGGACCGAACCGACUAAUGUUGAAAAAUUAGCGGAUGACUUGUGGCUGGGGGUGAAAGGCCAAUCAAACCGGGAGAUAGCUGGUUCUCCCCGAAAGCUAUUUAGGUAGCGCCUCGUGAAUUCAUCUUCGGGGGUAGAGCACUGUUUCGGCUAGGGGGUCAUCCCGACUUACCAACCCGAUGCAAACUACGAAUACCGAAGAAUGUUAUCACGGGAGACACACGGCGGGUGCUAACGUCCGUCGUGAAGAGGGAAACAACCCAGACCGCCAGCUAAGGUCCCAAAGUCACAGUUAAGUGGGAAACGAUGUGGGAAGGCACAGACAGCCAGGAUGUUGGCUUAGAAGCAGCCAUCAUUUAAAGAAAGCGUAAUAGCUCACUGGUCGAGUCGGCCUGCGCGGAAGAUGUAACGGGGCUAAACUGUGCACCGAAGCUGCGGCAGCGACACUAUGUGUUGUUGGGUAGGGGAGCGUUCUGUAAGCCUGCGAAGGUGGCCUGUGAGGGUUGCUGGAGGUAUCAGAAGUGCGAAUGCUGACAUAAGUAACGAUAAUGCGGGUGAAAAGCCCGCACGCCGGAAGACCAAGGGUUCCUGUCCAACGUUAAUCGGGGCAGGGUGAGUCGACCCCUAAGGCGAGGCCGAAAGGCGUAGUCGAUGGGAAACAGGUUAAUAUUCCUGUACUUGGUGUUACUGCGAAGGGGGGACGGAGAAGGCUAUGUUAGCCGGGCGACGGUUGUCCCGGUUUAAGCAUGUAGGCGGAGGUUCCAGGUAAAUCCGGUACCUUUUUAACGCUGAGGUGUGAUGACGAGGCACUACGGUGCUGAAGUAACAAAUGCCCUGCUUCCAGGAAAAGCCUCUAAGCAUCAGGUAACAUUAAAUCGUACCCCAAACCGACACAGGUGGUCAGGUAGAGAAUACCAAGGCGCUUGAGAGAACUCGGGUGAAGGAACUAGGCAAAAUGGUGCCGUAACUUCGGGAGAAGGCACGCUGAUAUGUAGGUGAAGCCCCUGCGGGUGGAGCUGA
rnacentral:rRNA from 1 species